AUUGAACGCUGGCGGCAGGCCUAACACAUGCAAGUCGAACGAGUGGCGGACGGGUGAGUAAUGUCUGGGAAACUGCCUGAUGGAGGGGGAUAACUACUGGAAACGGUAGCCAAUACCGCAUACCAUCAGAUGUGCCCACAUGGGAUUAGCUAGUUGGUGGGGUAACGGCUCACCAAGGCGACGAUCCCUAGCCGGUCUGAGAGGAUGACCAGCCACGCUGUAACGGAGAGACGGUCAAGAGUACUACGGGAGGCAGCAGUGGGGAAUAGUGCACAAUGGGCGCAAGCCUGAGGCAGCCAUGCGGCGUGUAUGAAGAAGGCCUUAGAGUUGUAAAGUAGGUUCAGCGGAGAGGCGUUACCCGCAGAGAAGGCAACGGCUAACUCCGUGCCAGCAGCCGCGGUAAUAC
rnacentral:rRNA from 1 species